rfam:Culex pipiens quinquefasciatus supercont3.679 genomic scaffold, whole genome shotgun sequence.
AGGCCUCAAAUAAUGUGUGACUACCCCCUAAAUUUAAGCAUGUUAAUAAGGGGAGGAAAAGAAACUAACAAGGAUUCCCCGAGUAGCUGCGAGCGAAAAGGGAAGAGCUCAGCACGCAGGGGUGGCGCACUACCCGCGUCUACCCGGUUCCGUGUACUGGAAAUUUUGUCAUCUGCCAUGCCCGGCGCAGUGUCCAAGUUCAACUAGAAUGUGGCUUUUACUCCCAUAGAGGGUGAUAGGCCCGUAGGACGGUGCUGAUGGUGGAAUUUUUUUUCCAUGGAGUCGUGUUGCUUGAUAGUGCAGCACAAAGUGGGAGGUAAACUCGAGGUAAACUCCUUCUAAAGCUAAAUAUCACCACGAGACCGAUAGCGAACAAGUACCGUGAGGGAAAGUUGAAAAGCACUCUGAAUAGAGAGUCAAAAAGUACGUGAAACUGCCUAGGGCUCAAGCCCGUUGAACUCGAUUAUCCGCGGCGGAGAUAUUCACCUGCGGUUGGCCCUCACCGGUCCGCCGCAGGGCACUUACCUCCUGCCUCACGAGGACGUUGCGAUCCAUUACGGAACGGUUAGCCAGCAAUGGCUACAGGCCCGGCACCUGCCCCUUGGCAUUUGGUUGCUUGUCCCACAGUAGCGGCGCUCAGUUCGGAAGGCCUGCGCUGCAACCUGAGGCUUACCGGUGCGUGGUGUGCAGCCGGGCGCGUGAUGGAUUCCCGCGUCCACCGUCUCGGGAGAGGCUUGCCUCUCCCACCUCCACCAAGGUGACGGACUGUCGAUCGGCAACGAUAAAAUCGAGGUACCUUCGGGACCCGUCUUGAAACACGGACCAAGAAGUCUAUCUUGCGCGCGAGCCAAUGGUACUCAGUUGAAACACCAAAGGCGCAAAAAACAUAACUUGAAACUGUGCGGGAUUACGGGCGAGACUCUCUGCUCGUCCCUCCAUCCCCGGGUGUUAUACCAGGCGUGCCGGAGUCCUCGCGCCCUCGGUGCCAUAACAUACCGCGAGUGUGCAGGAUGUGACCCGAAAGAUGGUGAACUAUGCCUGAUCAGGUUGAAGUCAGGGGAAACCCUGAUGGAGGACCGAAGCAGUUCUGACGUGCAAAUCGACUGUCAGAAUUGGGCAUAGGGGCGAAAGACCAAUCGAACCAUCUAGUAACUGGUUCCCUCCGAAGUUUCCCUCAGGAUAGCUGGAGCACGCAACAUUUCGGAUUCUAUUCUUAUCUGGUAAAGCGAAUGAUUAGAGGCCUUAGGUUCGAAAUGAUCUUAACCUAUUCUCAAACUAUAAAUGGGUACGUACCAUGACAUUCUUGCAUGAUGUCAUUGCAACCGUUCAAACGUCGGGCCGCCCCUUGCCUGGGCGUGCCGGUCGACGUACAAGAUAUCUGUGUGCUUAGUGGGCCAAGUUUUGGUAAGCAGAACUGGUGCUGUGGGAUGAACCCACGGAUGAAACAAACGUGAUGUUACGGCGCCUAAAUAAACGACGCAUCAUAGAUACCAUGAAAGGUGUUGAUUGCUACAGACAGCAGGACGGUGGACAUGGAAGUUGUCAUCCGACUCACCUGCCGAAGCAAUUAGCCCUUAAAAUGGAUGGCGCUUAAGUCGUUUGCCUAUACAUUACCGCUGGCGUACAAGUGGUGCGGCGGGCCCAGGGGGGCGACAUCUAUAUCUCACUACAGGAAGCUCGCCCGUAGCCAACACAAGCUGUCAACUUCGGCACCAGAACGAAAGGGAAAUGUCAACUUCGGCUCCAGCACAAAAGAACAGCUGUUCGUUACGGAACCAAAACAAAGCAACUGCGCACUGUAAAAAAAAGUACAAAAACGGCAGGCAUAAAAUGGAAAUAAAGUAAUUAUUGUUUUUAUGUAAAAUUUUACCGCAAUGUACGUUUAAAAGUUAGUGUAUGUUUGUGAGGUGAGUUUUAUCAAUUUAUUUGCAAAAUAAAGUUCUAAAUAUGGGAUGAUUAAGCACACAUCGGGCCGAUGACCUCAUUUAAAGUUGUACUUUUAUCACAUGAAACGUUUAACUUAACUACUGUGUAAUUUGACUUUUACUACAGUAAUUCUUAUAACAAAAAUUUAAUUAUUAAAAAAAGAAAUAUUUUUGUUUUCACUGUGCACAGUUUGCGCGCGUUAUCAAUCUCAAUCACCAAAGAUGGCGGUCUUUAGCAUCCCCCUGGGCGGGCCCUAGCCUCCGUCCGCACUUUGAGACGCCAGCGAGUAGGAGGGUCUGGUGGUGUGCGUUGAAGUGCCUGGCGUAAGCCGACAUGGAGCCGACACUAGCACAGAUCUUGGUGGUAACGUCAUGAUUCGAAAUCCGGACACUUAGU